AAACAAGCGGCUGCUGGAAGAGAGUAGGUGAGUUGUGUUUAGUCUCUUUGCUAAAGAAAUCAGGCAAAGUUAAAAAGAUGUUUGAUGGCUAGUACUAUGGCUGGGACCCUUUAUGUACUGUUGAUGAAGUUAGGUGCUGUUCUGAGCAUUAUUUGUGGCUAUAGAGUGGCGUUUUGGUUGAGGUUUGUUUAUGGCUCCUCAGACCGCUGUGUAUUGCUAUCCUGCGGUCGUUACUAAAGUUGGUAUAACUAGAGAAGCAAGCGGUCGGCAACAUUCAUCUCUCGAGGGGAUGUCUAACUCGGUGUUACGGUGUGUUUAACCCUAGCUUAAUUUUACCCCAGAAUAUCCCUUUAAAGUACAGAUAGGGCUAAAAGGUAACGCUCAGUCUACUAGUGGUUGGGGUUCUUGACAGCAAAGCAACUGAGUUUAGAACAGUUAUUUCUUAGCUGAUCUGAGUUUUUAGAUUACACAGAGAAAUGCAGAAUCUGUACCACAGGGUCUGGAUUUUCAGCAUGGGCAGUGUUCAGGUUCCUGUGUACGGUAUGUUUGUAGUCUGAUUAGUAUUGACCAGUCCUGAUUCAGCAGUCUUUGGUGAAAACAAGGUUUCCGGCGACAGCAUCACCCACUGUCAGUCAUAUCAGCCCCCCCAUAAUAAUGCCUGAACCUAAAGAGGAACUUUUCAACACAGAGGUUAAAGGGAUUUUCUUGGUUUUUAGAGCCGGCCUCAAGUGGACACUAAGGGAACUGCAGGUUUUUAGCACAUCUGCAUCAGCUUCUUUUGCAGCAUAGGAGGUCAGGGCUGAGUUUUCUUCAUGGUUUUAUGUUUUGAAACUCAGGCGCACAUUUGUUUUUUCUUUUUCGACUAUAGAGGAGGUCUGUUUGUUUGAAGAGGCACAACGUGUGAUUUGUUUAGGUGCAGAGGUUUUACAGUUUUGAGUCACUGGGUUACAAUGAAAUGUCACAGCUGCCUCUGGAAAAAAAGAAAAAAGAAAAGAAAAACCAUUAUAACAGUGCAUCUCACCCACAGUCUAUUCAUAGGUUAAAGCUUGUACAUGGAAAAAUACGCCCAGCAUGACCACAUGUUUGAGAUCUACAGUAUUCAGAGGAGCUGCGAGCACGGUGGAGGAGGUUUGGACAAUGAUUUGCUGCAGACCGGCACACAGCAGGCCCAUUAUCUGCCAAUUUAGGACAGUUCACUUCCUUGUCAACAUCCUGGUCUCGGGCAAAACCUCCGUCUCAUCCCUCUUUGUCUCAUUAUUGGAGCUUGUUGUCGAGUUAGGUCAGAGAAUGGGAAUAACUGAUGAGCAGAACCUCCCUCCCCUCCUAGACUCUCUCUCGGGGUAUCAUUUGCGGGGGCUGGAUGCAGAGGAGGAGGAGGAGGAUGGGGUGAGGGCGGUGGAUGAUAUAAGCGCAGAGUUUUAAUGAGGACUGGGACAGCAGAGUCAUCUACUUAUCUGUCACUCAUACUCCUUUCAUCGCUCCCCUCCCCCCCAGCGAGAUGGUGAGAUAGACAGAGUGAGCAGAGGGGCGGAGAGAAGGGCGGAGAGGGAGGGGAAUGGUUAGAGAGGGUUAGGCAAGAGGCACAUCACUUAUUUAUUUAUGGUUAUAAAAUGUUCUGCCCUUCUGUUCUGUUCCCCUCUCUUUUCAUGCAGUCGUUUUUUUUUCUCCUCUUAAUUCAAAUUCAAGAGGGUGAAUACAGAAAUUUCUGAUAUCCUUUUCAAAGGACCCGGCCCCCUUUAGCAUCGAGCACAGGAGGAAGAGGAGGAGGAGGAGCUGAGGUUUAGUUACAGUGUGGCAUGAAUCUGACAUUUAUUGUGUGCGCCUGUGUGCCUGUGUGUAUGUGUGCGUGCAAGUGUGUGUGUGUGUAAGCCUAUUAGCAUUCCCCUUGAGCCUGGUUCCUUCUGUGUGUGUGUUAUUAAUAAAACAUGCAGUAGAUAUCCUGAAGGAGGCCAUACCAUUAAUUUAAUCCAUAUGAAUGAUUGCAUUCAUAGCUGCAUGUUUUUGUCCAUAAACCGAGUCACAUUAAGCCGCAAAAACCAUCAAGUUAAAGAGUAAAAUCAGAGAGCACUUUGGAUUCCAGGACAGUAAACAUUUCUGGAGUCAGUAUUUUGCAGGAUAUCUUCAGUAAAUAUUUCAUUUUUAAUCCUAUUUUUUUCUAAGAGUCAAAAAUGUGUUCACUGCAAAACAGAAAAGCCGUCUAAAAACCCACUUUUACUCCUUGGCUUUUGGCCCAGCAUGAGACGGCAUUUGUUUUAUUGCUUUUUAUUAUAUUUUAAAACAACUAUUUAUUGUUUUUUUUAUUAUGUUAUUAUGUACAGCGCGCUCUAUAAAUAAAGUUGAGUUGAGAUUUAAAAAAAUAGAAAAAUUAAAGCUCCUGUGAGAAGUUUUCAACUUAUUAUGAAAUAGAUUGAAAUUAGUGCAGAUGCCUCCCAGCAAACAAGACCUGCAGGAAGAAGUCUGAGUAUUUCUAAAUAUUAAUUUUCAGUGACUAAAAUCACUACAAGGGGGUCGGUGUCACAUGACAAAAACAUUGCACUGCUUAAACAAACCUCAUAAACUACACUCAGUCUUAUGUUUGCUGUUUAAAGAAAGCCGGAUGACAUUUUUGUCACAUGUUCAGAUUAAAAGCAAAGCGAUAAAAAGUCCUCUUUUGUCUGCAGGUGGCGCCAAAAUCAACACAAACUAAAGUUCCUUAUAGAAGCUUUUAUUAAACACUCAACCCAGUCUGACACACUUUACAUGACACUCGAGAAAACUGAAUUACUGCUGAACUCCGAUUUAGACCGGACAACUGAAGGUCAUGUAAACACCUUAGUCCGACUAGAAUCAGAGUUUGAGAACUCCGAUUAAGACACUCAGAUAAUGCGAUUGGAAUUGGAUUUUCUCUACCGUGUAACCAGCAUAGUCAGAGUAUGAUCGGACAAUGCAUGUGCGCAACGCCUCCGUAAUCCAGAACAGAAACACCAGAGAAGAAGUGGCGCUAUCAUUUAAAGAACUUUUGCCUCAGAAGCGACUGCAACAUGGCUGAAGCACCACAGAACGUCCACUUUUGGAACAACGAGGAGAGCGCCGUUAUGCUUUCCAUCCUGACAGAAAUGGACAUUUUAAAGUAUAUAGAUGGUUGCAAAAUGAGGAACAGAGACACCUUAAAAAAAGGUCUGGAAACAGCGCAGCUGAAGAGACCCAUACCGCCCCCUAGUUUUGGGGAGGAGGACACGUUCACGUCAAUAAUUCGAUUUUCUCAGCUGUAUGUAUACGCGGACAAGGGGAGAAGUUCGAAAAA